rnacentral:lncRNA from 1 species
GUUGUAGGGUCAGGGAGAGACAGGAGGGUGUAUGGUAACCUGGGUUCCUGGUGUCCUUUUCAGGGGAGAGGGAAUGAAGAGCCUUUCCUGGAACCUGGACUCAUUUACUUCUCUAGCUUUCCCCAUGGGACCCUCUACUGCAAAGGAGUGCAGCAUGUUGUUAGGUAUCCUGCAGUGGCUCAGAGAUAACAAGAAAGGUGGUAGUCCCAGUCCAGCUGCAUCCACAGAAGACACAGAAAUGCACAGUCACAGGCUGGUGAAGUGACUUGUCCAGACCUCCUAAGCCAGAGAAUAGAAGCCACAUGUGUAUGCAGGUGUGCUGUAUCCAGACUUCCUGCUAUGUCCACCUUGCCUCCCGUUCAGUACCCCUGGGAACCACAGCUGAGCUCCAGAGGACUGAAGCACCUGGCUUGCAAGGACAGCUGAGACGAAACUCACAAGGAGGAUCAGUUGCAGCUCAAGAUUCAGGUGGAAUGAGUCAGAGGCUUUGGUGACCGAAAUGGAGCUGUGAUUUUCCACAAGAAUUUACUGAAACCAGACCAGGUGGUGAACCACAACCUCUCAAGGUAGUUGGAGAGACCAUAAUCCCCAGUAGGUAAGGCCUACAUGUUCUUUCAGCUAGACGUAGCUAUAUGAAGACAAUAUCCUAUAAAGAAUUAUGGGGAUUUAUGUUGCAGGCCAGAAAUAAGGCAGGAGAUUAGCACUGGCCAGCUGGCUAGGCAAGUAGGCAUGACUUGUCAAUCACAGAGAUCCAAGACACAUGGCCAGAAAAACAAUGCCCAAACCUUGCUCCCCUGGGACCAAUCCAAACAUGCUGAUUUUAAUUCUUCUGGCACAAAAUCAAGCAGGUUUUUGUCACGACAGCCUAGAUCUGACUUCAGAAUGAGAACUAUGAAAGAUAUUGGCCAUUAAUCUUGUGGCUCCUAUGCUCUCUUUCCAAGUGGUUUGCUCUCACUCUGCAGUGUGUACUUCUUUUCCUACCUUUAAUAUAAGUAAAACUUACUACCUUUUGCACUUGUCUUGUCCAAUUCUUUGAUCAGGACAAGAACCUGGAAAUUAUCUCUAGAAGGAGCCCACAGCACCCCAGAACCCAAGCAACAAGAAUAUGAUCACAAGUAUAACACGGUCAAAGCCAAAGGGAGAGAAGGGUUCAUUGUGACCUACUCUCAUAUCUCCCAGAUGAGUAAACCAAAGUCUGUAAGGGGCUGGGCCAUAUGAAAUAGUGGUGGGAUUAGAGUGAUGUGACACCCAGUACAGUAUUCUCUCUGUACUGGGGGAGUCCAGAAAGUAAG